AAAAAUAGAACAACAAGAGCAUUUGGUGAGGCUGGACGCUGAAGAUCUGCUUCCAUAUAUCUAUCUAGAAAAAUUAACCAUCCAGAAUUGUGGGUUACGGUACAUGACAGUGGAUGUGUUCCAAGUGUUGACACACCUGACUUCUUUAAACCUGGCACAAAACCAACUGAGCUAUCUACCAUGGAAAAUGUUUGCAACCAGUCAGUCUAAUAU